GGCAUGAUUUUGAUUUUCAGGUUUUCCUUCACCAAGUUUAGGAUUUCCAGGCAAUUUAAUUGAGUAGAUUUCCUUAUCUUUGCCGUUGAUGUCAGCCUUUACUAGCUUUGAGAUAUAUUCCUUAUUCACCUUCCCUUCUUUAAGAGUUUCAACCUCAUCAAUGAAAGCAACUCGAAGAGCCUCAUUUCUUUGCAUUAGUAACGCAAUAUCUGCAGCCUCGGGUUUUUGCUCUUCUUUCUGUUUCCCAUAUAUCUGGCAUGUGACAACAUACGUAAAUUUCAGAUCUGCCUGUGCUCUUGAUUCAGGAGACAAGUCAAAUCCUUGAGUAUCCGUAAUUUCAUUUCGUGUAGUUCCUGCUUCAGUAUCUCCAGUAAUCAUCCCUUCCAAAUACGAUUGAAGCAUUAGUGCUUUCCUGUAGUACAUCAUUCCACGAACAGUUCUGGCCAAUGUUUGCCCACGGUAUGAAGCCCAGAACCUAAGUUCAAGAAUGUCAUUUGGAUUAUCAUUAAGUUCUUUCUCUGAGAUGUUCUCAUCGCGACCUAUUCGUGCAAGAAAGUUUUUCCAUUCAUCUGGGUAUAUUUUCUGGAGGUAAAACAGAAUAGAAAUUCCAUCUUCAUUUUUCUUAAGGAGUUCUGACAUGCUGUAAAGAACAGUUUCUGAAUAAUAUGGGGUGAACACGCUGAAGGAUAGCAUCUCACGGACAGGUCGUGUUACAGGCAUCUCCAUGAAAAGGGAAUUGGUGAAGAACUCUAACCGACGCCUAGCUUCAAGAUUCUUGGGUAUGUUGGCAGCAGAUUCUUUAAUAGUUAGGAGAGAAUAAAGUCUUUUAAUCAGUUCCAUCAACUCAGCAUCUCUUGGCCACUUUAACUUUGAGAACAACCGGCCUUCAUUCCUUGCUUUUGACAAAGUGUUCCAUGUUUCAAUGUGGUCUCUCAUGUUGAAGCGAAGGACAUCAAGUCGCAGAACAUCAUACAGAUCUUGAAUAGCUUUAACAGCCCCAGUUUCAAGCUCUGGUGUAUGCUCCUUUUUCAGUAUUCCCAUUAGUGCAGUUACUUUCUGAAUCACCAGUGGCAACUUAUUCAUAUCAACGUCCACAUUAAUGCUCCUUUUAGAUAUGCUCCCACGAAUAUCCUCAUAUAUACGUUCAACCCACUUCUUUCCUUCAUCAUUUCCUUCAUCAUCUAAUAUGGAUGUAAGAACAAACUUGAUGGCGUAAUAGCACUCUUCAACCGCAUAUAUCAUGUAAUCAUCCCUUGAAAUCCUAUCCCAUAACUCAUCUUGUGAGUCUUUACUCUCCACAGCUAUAUCUUUUGCAAGAAAUAUCUUGCUAGCUAGGAGGAAAAGAGGCCACUGAACCAAGGGCAGACUCCCAGAAUUCUUAGGCAUCAAAAGCUGUUCCAUCUCCAAAUUAGUAAUGUAAUCUUCUUCCCUCAAAUUCUUGACAAUUUCAUUCCAGAAAGGUGCAAAUCGAGCAGCAUCGGCUUUGUUUCUCUCCAAAACCUGACCAGAAGACAGGAGUGACACCCUGGUUCGAAGAGGCACAUGAAGACUAUUCAUAAAAGCCUCGGGAAACCUCUCAAAACGUUUAUGCACAGCAUCCAAUGAUCUUAUCUCCCCUAGGCGAUCUCGUGCUCCCAGAAGAAAGCCCCAUACAGCCGAUAUAACCGUGUAAAAUAGAUGAGUAUCAAACAGGUAUAUAAUAAAAACUGGUGCCCAUAAGCUCGCAACUGUCAGUGCAUUAUGGUUAUUUUUAGAAACAAAAUCGUGCCAAGAGUACUGCCGAAUAUCCAUUGCCACUAUCUGUCUUGUUGGCUUCACCAACGGCUUAAUCAGUAGAAAAUAGGCAAAAGCAAAUUUAGCUCCCAGGACAACAAGCCAAAAAACCAUAUACUUGAUGAAGUCAAUAGUUUUCUCAUACAUGCCCCGACCAACGUAAUAGUGUUCCUGGUGCAUCCACUUGAUGAAACGGACCACAGACCAAUUGUCACAUCGACUUGUCAAACUAUGACAAGCUGGAAUCCGCAGCAGAAAGCUGACAAAAAACUUAACUCCAGCAUAGAUUGCAAGAACAACAAUAUAAAUUCUGAAGACAGUAGAGUUGGAAUUUUGGCUGCUAUUAUCUUCAAGCGCUUUCACAUAAAGGAAACAUAUGAAGACAGAAGCUAUGCUGAACCAAACAAAACGAAGGAAAAUCCGACUGACAGCUAAACGCCUUGAUGUAGAGUAUGCACCAUACAUCAUGAUAACAUCCAGAACACUCUCAAGAAACUUCAUCACAACAUACGUAGGUCCAAGACUCAAAACUUCCCUCAGUGUUUUUGAAUCGAGUCGCUCAUUAUUGAAAGCAAGGAUGGUCAAUCCCUGAAAAAACAUGAAAAGAAACAUCCAAAGACGAUGAAAACUGUGAUAAAGAUGGAGAAAAGUCCUGUGCUCAACAAAGGAUGUUUUUCCUCUGCGCUUGCCACCUCCAGAUUUAAGAAUGUUCUUUGAUCUGGGUGUUGGCUUUAGAAAGAAAGAAGAAUUUGUCCGCCAUGGCCAGCUAAGCUUGAAGCAAUGACGGGACCAGAAAUACUCAUUAAAAUCAUCAUAGUUUCUCCACGCAGAAUGAGGUGCUCGGCCAUUCUCAUUGUUUC
rnacentral:misc_RNA from 1 species